UUCAGUGGAAUUACAGUGGCCGGUGGGACCCUGGAUUUCAGGCUGGGGAGGCAGGGAAGGGGCCCAGUGUUCCCAGGACUGUCUACCGUGUGGCCGGUGUUUUUAUUCAGCCCCUUGUCUGUCAAAACUGUCCUGAAUGGGGUGACAAAGUGCAGCGGGAAGUUGAGAAAUGCCUCAAAAGACCAAGCCUGGGGCAACUAUGUCUCCAGGAGCAGUGACCCAGCUCCUUUGGGCUGGAAACCAGCGUUUCCCGGUGGGGCUGGAGGCUGUCUGAGGACCACGUGGCUGCUCCCAGCCUUGCCGCAGUUCCAGUCCCAGAGGGAGUGGCUUUCAGCGGCUGAGGCCUCCACCGCGCUGGCAGAAAGGGACAGCAGUGGCUGGUUCCAACAUGGGUAGUUCUCUUGUUGCAGCCAGUGGGAUGGGGGCCGGGCCUCAUCUGGGGCAGGAGAAGAGUCCAGGGAUUCACUGGUGCCCAGCACCUAAGAACCUGGAGAAAACACCGCAGCAGCACUCCUGGCCAGCCAAGGGCAACACUGACAGCCUCUCCCAGGGUUGCGGGGCCGGCAGGGGGUGACAGAGACACGCUCCUGUGGGCAGCUCUUCCCGGCCAGUGCUGCGACCCCGCAGCUGCGGCAGGGCUGGGUGGCCACUCUUGCAUCAUCAGCAGCCGGCUGUGGAGGAGGGAGAGCACAGCCCGGGAUGUGAGCAGGCGUCGGUCAGGGGAAUGAGGAAGUCCCACAAGAACCGGUUCCCCCAGCUGCUGUGCUGGUGGGAGGGUCACUGGCCAACCUGCUCUCACCCAGCUUGGGCUGGCCAUAGUGCCAGGCAGUUGCCCUCAGCUCCUCCGCCCAUUCCAGCCAUGGAGGUGGCUGCCCUUGCAGGCUCCAGGGUGUGGUGGGAGUGUCCAGGAGGCAGAGGCCAGAGGGGGUCAUGCUGUGGGGGGAGUUCCUCUCUCAGACCCCAUCUGUGCCUCUCCCGCUGCAUAUCUGGGUGACAUGGGUGCCAACAGGCAGGAGGAAGGGCUGGGAAAGGCUGUGGAGGGGCCCUCGGCUGGUCUGGUAGGGAGUGGGUCACUGUGUCUCUGCUGCCUCCCUGAGGGAUCCAGCGUGGGGAUGGGACAUGGAGCUGGGCACCUCUCCUGGAUGCCCCUGGGCUGAUCCCCCUCGACGCCCUGACAAGAGCCCUGGCCCAGCGUCUGAGAAGGAGCGGGAGCCGGGCCCGGGUGGGGGCAGGAGCCGGCAUCACUCUCAGCACUGCCCCACACUCCCCAGCCUGCCUGCUGAGGCCAUGUCGGACUACGAGAACGAUGACGAGUGCUGGAGCAUCCUGGAGGGCUUCCGGGUGACGCUUACCUCGGUCAUCGACCCCUCGCGCAUCACGCCCUACCUGCGGCAGUGCAAGGUCCUGAACCCUGAUGAUGAGGAGCAGGUGCUCAGUGACCCCAACCUGGUCAUCCGCAAACGGAAAGUGGGGGUGCUCCUGGACAUCCUGCAGCGGACCGGCCACAAGGGCUACGUGGCCUUCCUCGAGAGCCUGGAGCUCUACUACCCGCAGCUGUACAAGAAAGUCACGGGCAAGGAGCCAGCCCGCGUCUUCUCCAUGAUCAUCGACGCGUCCGGGGAGUCAGGCCUGACUCAGCUGCUGAUGACUGAGGUCAUGAAGCUGCAGAAGAAGGUGCACGACCUGACGGCGCUGCUGAGCUCCAAGGAUGACUUCAUCAAGGAGCUGCGGGUGAAGGACAGCCUGCUGCGCAAGCACCAGGAGCGCGUGCAGAGGCUCAAGGAGGAGUGCGAGGCUGGCAGCCGCGAGCUCAAGCGCUGCAAGGAGGAGAACUACGACCUGGCCAUGCGCCUGGCGCACCAGAGUGAGGAGAAAGGCGCCGCGCUCAUGCGGAACCGCGACCUGCAGCUGGAGAUUGACCGACUCAAGCACAGCCUCAUGAAGGCAGAGGACGACUGCAAGGUGGAGCGCAAGCACACGCUGAAGCUCAGGCACGCCAUGGAGCAGCAGCCCAGCCAGGAGCUGCUGUGGGAGCUGCAGCGGGAGAAGGCUCUGCUCCAGGCCCGGGUGCAGGAGCUGGAGGCCUCCGUCCAGGAGAGGAAGCUGGACAGGAGCAGCCCCUACAUCCAGGUACUGGAGGAGGACUGGCGGCAGGCGCUGCGGGACCACCAGGAGCAGGCCAACACCAUCUUUUCCCUGCGCAAGGACCUCCGCCAGGGCGAGGCCCGACGCCUCCGGUGCAUGGAGGAGAAGGAGAUGUUCGAGCUGCAGUGCCUGGCCCUGCGUAAGGACUCCAAGAUGUACAAGGACCGCAUCGAGGCCAUCCUGCUGCAGAUGGAGGAGGUCGCCAUUGAGCGGGACCAGGCCAUCGCCACACGGGAGGAGCUGCACGCGCAGCACGCCCGGGGCCUGCAGGAGAAGGACAUGCUGCGCAAGCAGGUGCGGGAGCUGGGCGAGAAGGCGGAUGAGCUGCAGCUGCAGGUGUUCCAGUGUGAGGCGCAGCUACUGGCCGUGGAGGGCAGGCUCAGGCGGCAGCAGCUGGAGACGCUCGUCCUGAGCUCCGACCUGGAGGAUGGCUCACCCAGGAGCUCCCAGGAGCUCUCACUCCCCCAGGACCUGGAGGACACCCAGCUCUCAGACAAAGGUGAGGUGGGGACAGCAGUGCACCCAGAGGCCUCCCGGCGGCCCCAAGAGAGGCCCAUCUUCAGCACAGGCAGCCUGUGCCGCAAUGCCUGUGUCAACCCCCACAACCCCGACUCCACAGACAGGGAAACUGGGGCUGGGGAUAAGUAUAAUGGUCAAGGUCACCCAGAGAACAAACUACAGAGCCCAGCUGGAACCCGGGGCCCCAGCUAGUGGGACAAGUGUCCCCUGGGGUGGAGAGUGUGGGGGUCUGGGCAGCCCCCAUGGGGUGCAGAGGUGAGCAGGCCCACCGUCCCGAGAGCGUGGGGCCCCUCUGGGCAGUCCCCACGGGGUGCAGAGGUGAGCAGGCCCACCGUCCCGAGAGCGUGGGGCCCCUCUGGGCAGUCCCCACGGGGUGCAGAGGUGAGCAGGCCCACCGUCCCGAGAGCGUGGGGCCCCUCUGGGCAGUCCCCACGGGGUGCAGAGGUGAGCAGGCCCACCGUCCCGAGAGUGUGGGGCCCCUCUGGGCAGCCCCCACGGGGUGCACAGGUGAGCAGGCCCACUGUCCCAGCUGCUCCAAGCUUCCUCCUGGGCAGAGGGAGGUGGUAACGAGCAAACACCCAGGUGCACGAAGCUAGAAAGUGGGGCGAGACGGGGCCCCACGUGGCUUGAGGGACAGGGCCAAAUGCAGGGGUGGCCAAGGGCCUGCUGUGUCCCGGUGCAGUGGGGGUAAGGCAGUGGCAGGGGCUUCUAGCGGGCAGGGCAGGCCCCCUCUGCCUGUCUGGGGAAGGACUGGGUGGCUGGCUGGGAGCAGCCCCCGAGUGCCCAGGAGCGGGCAAUGGUGAUGGGGUAGGUGUUUGCUCUGAAGGUGGUGUCAGGUAGGGGUUGGGGAGGGCCCAGCAGAGGGGUCCUGGGAGGCUGCAUCAGAGUUGGACAAGCUUCCUGAGUACCAGGCGUGGCCUCCAAGCAGAGGCGGAAGGGGAAGGAGGAGCCGCAGAUGGGGAAGUGAAGACCAGCGCCUUUGGCUGCAGCCCAGAACACUUGAACAUGGGGAUGCCAAGCCCCCAUGUAGGCACAGAGGCAAGCAGGACCCAGGAGUCCAGCUCAGGCACUGCCCCCAUCCCCUGGGUGGCUGUGGCAGGAGCAGGGGCAGGUGUGAAGGUUGGAGGGUGAGCAGGGGAGGGGCUGGCUCUAAGAAGGGGCUGCCAAUGGCCAGGACAGUCCUGGCCUGGCCCUCCCCGCAGUGGGGCUGAGACUGGACGUGCAUGGUUUCUUCCCAAGGGUCCUGAUCCCUGGUCUGCCCAGGUCCUGGCGGUUUCUGAGGGGGUUCAGCCGCCUGAAGGUUCUCUCCCAAUUGCUGCAGUACCCCUGCCCCCACAUCAGGAGGACCCAGACAACCACUGUAGCUGUCCCCAACUCUCUCCCCAGGGCCGCGAUGCCCACAGAUGCUUUGGAGUGAUGGGGGACGGUGCUGCUCAGGCCCAGGGUUUAAGCUCCCCUGAGGUCUGGGAGGCCUUCCUGCCUGGCGGGCAGCCAGCUCGGGGGAGGGAUGGUCCCUGGCAGGAGCAUUGGGCCUGGGCUGGCAUCUGGCGGCCUCCUGGAGCAAUGAACAGGCAAGCGAGGCCAUAAGGCCUCAGUCUCAUCUACAGAAGGCAGAGUCUACACUGGACCCAUGUGGGGAUCCCACCAGGCCUUGGAAGACAGCCCCACACGGUGUCCGCAAUGCCGGGGAGGGGUGGGGCAGCCGUGCUGUACGUGGCCCCGCAGGUGGGCAGGUCCCACAGGACGCAGGCCUGAGCAGCGGGGAGCCGCCCGAGAAGGAGCGGCGGCGCCUCAAAGAGAGUUUUGAGAACUACCGCAGGAAGCGAGCUCUCAGGAAGAUGCAG